rnacentral:rRNA from 1 species
UACGUAGGGGGCAAGCGUUGUCCGGAUUUAUUGGGCGUAAAGCGCGUGUAGGCGGCCAGGUAGGUCCGUUGUGAAAACUCGAGGCUCAACCUCGAGACGUCGACGGAAACCAUCUGGCUAGAGUCCGGAAGAGGAGAGUGGAAUUCCUGGUGUAGCGGUGAAAUGCGCAGAUAUCAGGAGGAACACCCGGUGGCGAAGGCGGGUCUCUG